rnacentral:rRNA from 1 species
AGUGAACGCUGGCGGUAGGCCUAACACAUGCAAGUCGAACGGCAGCACAGUAAGAGCUUGCUCUUACGGGUGGCGAGUGGCGGACGGGUGAGGAAUACAUCGGAAUCUACUUUUUCGUGGGGGAUAACGUAGGGAAACUUACGCUAAUACCGCAUACGACCUACGGGUGAAAGCAGGGGAUCUUCGGACCUUGCGCGAUUGAAUGAGCCGAUGUCGGAUUAGCUAGUUGGCGGGGUAAAGGCCCACCAAGGCGACGAUCCGUAGCUGGUCUGAGAGGAUGAUCAGCCACACUGGAACUGAGACACGGUCCAGACUCCUACGGGAGACAGCAGUGGGGAAUAUUGGACAAUGGGUGCAAGCCUGAUCCAGCCAUACCGCGUGGGUGAAGAAGGCCUUCGGGUUGUAAAGCCCUUUUGUUGGGAAAGAAAAGCAGCAGGUUAAUACCCCGCUGUUCUGACGGUACCCAAAGAAUAAGCACCGGCUAACUUCGUG